rnacentral:rRNA from 1 species
UACGAAGGGGGCUAGCGUUGCUCGGAAUCACUGGGCGUAAAGCGCACGUAGGCGGAUCGUUAAGUCGGAGGUGAAAUCCUGGAGCUCAACUCCAGAACUGCCUUCGAUACUGGCGAUCUUGGAGUCCGGGAGAGGUGAGUGGAACUCCGAGUGUAGAGGUGAAAUUCGUAGAUAUUCGGAAGAACACCAGUGGCGAAGGCGGCUCACUGGCCCGGUACUGACGCUG